CCUACGGGUCGUAAACCUCUUUUGCCGGGGAGCAAGGGCGGGGACGUGUACCGGCCCGGAGAGUACCAGGAGAACAGGCAUCGGCUAACUCCGUGCCAGCAGCCGAGGUAUUACGGGGGAUGCGAGCGUUAUACGGAUUUUUUGGGUUUAACGGUUGCGCAGGCGGGCUUUUCAGUCCGCGGUAAAAAUUCGGGGCGAAACCCCGUCCGGCCGUUGAAACUGGGGGCCUUGAGUGGGAGAGAAGAAGGCGGAAUGCGUGGUGUAGCGGUGAAAUGCAUAGAUAUCACGCAGAACCCCGAUUGCGAAGGCAGCCUUCCGGCGCCCUACUGACGCUGAGGCACGAAAGUGCGGGGAUCGAACAGGAUUAGAUACCCCGGUAGUC
rnacentral:rRNA from 1 species